UGUUUCAACGAUUUUGUCAAAAAAAAUCCAAAAACUCUUAAGUUUAUCGGUAAAAUAAUGUGGAACUAUUUGUCGGCGCGGCGCGUAGGAAUCCGGAUACCCGACACGCUAUCGCUAUAAAUAACCUGCGGGGCGUACGAAGGUCGUUUAGUCGUGCGGCCGUCGUUUAGCUGAAAGCUCUUCAUGUUAUUGCGUCUCUAGAAUCCCAUUUCAUUCUAGAACGUUCAGUAGUGAUCGUGUGAAAUAAGUGUUCCUGUACUUCCAGCCUUGCAAGACGACUCCUCGACACAGUUAUUGAGAUUGCGACUGUCCAGCAGGCCUUUCCAAGGAAUCGCUGCUAAACUUGAGGGUCUGCAAGUGAAUAAGUCACUCUAUCCUUGAAAGUGUGUGUGUCGUAGGCAUCAUGCAGAGGGUUUCGCCUUUGGUCGAAUAUAUUGCCCAGAAGCAUCUGUCUUGUGACAGAGAGCUUUGGACGAGGAAGCUGCUCGAUACUGGUCACCUUGGUGCUGGUAUUGACAAGUUUGGUUGACAGCUUUGCCAAUACCAUGAUAAUCUCCGAAACUUCCUGAAUGCAACCAAGUACAGAAAAUCCUGGAUAGUGCAAGACCCACUUGAAACUUAUCCCUUGAAAUGACUGACUGAUCCAUUGCAAUCAAAUGAUAAACUUAGGGUUACUAGUCCACAGCACUCAAAACGUCUGUUCGUUUUCUCGUGGUUAGUUUUGAAGACCUUCCUUGGCCGUUACGUAAGGUGUGGCAUAAAGUAGGUCAAACUUAACGUUUGAGAUGAAAAUUCAUUAAUAAAGCUGACAAUUGACAUUCAUAAUACCAUAUUUACCAAUUUACUUUCUGCACCUGAAAUCUAUGCUCUCUACUGGAGUCCAAAUGUUGGCACCAGGUGGAAUUGGGACAGCUUUUCAGUUUCUGGUGGUAUUGAAGGGUUCAGACAACUCUAGAAAAUACCAUGAGAUCAUAUGAUGUGCCUUAACAAGAAAAUUAAUUUACACAUAGCACCAUUACUUUAUUUUCCAUUUUUUUUAUAUCCAUAAGUCUAACUGAAAAAGCACCUAUUCAAAUAAUAGAUUGCUGAGAUUAUUCCACUAGGGAAAGGAGGAACGGGGUCUCUUGUCAGGUCUGACGAAUGACAUUGAGGUGAUGUUUUCAAGCCAAUGCUGUCAUAAUGAUGCAUUGUUAACUUGACUGCAGAAAGUCCUGACGUGCAACAGUUAUUAACUUCCUUAAAAAAUGCUGGUAAACCCAAAAGGUUUGAAUUAUAAGAAAUUGUUUUUGUGGACACAAUUCCAAUCUUAAUGAUUUUAUUAAACCUGAUAAGAAGUUUAAAAUUCUAAGCUGUUGUGCCAAGCAGCAGGAAUUUUGGCACUUUCAGUUUCCACUGGUAUUGAAGAGUUCAGUCGACAACUCUAGAAAAUACCAUGGGAUUUUUGUAUGCACAUCCAGACAAUUUGCAUCAUCUGAUUCUUGUUCAGUUUUGUUUGUAUUCCUGGAUUUGGUGGCAUCUAGUUUGGUUCUACUCCAAAAUAGAGCUGUUGGAGUAUCUGUACUGGGAUUCAGCGGGUUCUUGAGGCAUCAACACUGAUGUGGAAGGAUUUGCAGCCAUUAAUGGAAAGAAGACAUUAGUGGAUUUUUUUAAUAAUUUUUUUAAAAUGCUCAUUUUUUUUUUAAAUAUAAAUUGCAAUUGCAAGAAAUUGAAGAAAGGAAAAGUGAAAAAAGAAGCACACUAGUGAAUAAACUAAAUAAAUUUAAUUUAAUUAUAAUAUUGAAUUUAAAAAAAAAAUAUAUAAAUAGUGAGUGAAAGAAAACUGAUUCAAGAGGUGCGGUAAGAAGAGGAGUAUAAAGCCUUACAAGCAAUAGUUUUUGAAAAUUAAAAUGAUUAUUUUCAGUGGCUUAGGUUACAAAAGAUCUUCCAAGAAACUUCAUAUUUGCUUCCAAUAUUUUAAAUUGGGCAUUCGAGACCCUUGCAUACAUUAAAUUUAUUUGCACCUGAAAUGAAGAAGAAAAAAGAAGAUUAAAUAAAUGUAGAGAUAAUACUUACCUUAAUACACACUUGACAAGAACAUCAUUCAUAAAAGGUACAAUAUAUACGUUUUUGGUUUUCGACACAAGAUGUUUUUCAGAAGACCUUCAUAAGAAAACUAGAACAAAAGAAAAACCCUUGUGACCCUAGGAAUUCAUUCAGUAAGAAUCAUUUUCUUUCUUGUUUGGAUAAAGUUUAUUUAUAGAUCAGUCGGCUCCACAAAGAGAAACUGGAAUGUUACUAUAGGACAAGAAAUAUCAGCACAAAUAGAUGGGGAUUUUUAUCUAUGUAAAAAAUCUAAUAUAUGUCCAAUUUUGGUAUAAAUAUGAGGAAUAUCAACUUAGUACCUUGCAACAUUUUAUAGAACCUAUUACUGAUUGUGGUUUUUCAGGAUUCACUGCUCUCGUUUGCUUCCUAUUAAAAGUUUAGCCCUUUAUACAAGGUAUGACUGCACAGUUUCUCUUCAAAAUGACAAUUUUUUUUCAGAAAACCCUAUAGAUUUAUACUAUCCAUCUAGUUCAUGUAACCUUUGAGUUCAAUUCUAUCUAGUUAACCUGGAAUGCUCCCCAAAAAACAGUAAGAAUUUUUAUCUUGUUUUUGGAAAAAUUAAUCUUUUAUAGAUCAAUCACCUUGGGAGACACUGCAAAAUUGACUCAAUUCAAGGGACCCAAAAGAGUUUUCAUUUGUUAGGGACAAAAAACCUCUUUUCCAGAUUCAUGUUGCAAAGAGAUUUGACAGAAAAACUUUCCCUCAAUUAUUUAUUUACUUCAAACGAGUUUAUAGAAGGUAAAAUUUAGUUUAUUUGUUGCAACAAAAAGGUGCUUUUUAGGACGUUAGGACUUCACAAUCAGAAGUGGGAUUUUAAAAAAAAAUGUCCAUACCCUUGAGCAACAUUCUUCAGAGUAAGACAACUUUUUUUCCAAAAGAAAUUAGGUUUUUUUUUAGAAUAUCUACAUUAGGAAAAUAAGCCUCGGUUCUUGGAAUGAGUCAAAUUAAUCUUUUUGUUCAAAAUUUUAAUAUAAAACGUUUAGGCCAGUAGGAACCUUUCCAUCCAAAAGUGGGGGAUGUAAUAAAGUAAGAUAUCUGCACUUGUUUAGAAAAUGUUGGGUUCUUUUUAGGAAAUUCUGUUACUGACCAGAAAACAGCUGACACCGUAAAGAGCACAGCUUUGCAUUGUUGAAAAUUAACAAUUUUUUUCAGAUAAAACGCUUUUUUUUUUGACGUACUGAUUGCACUUAAAUUAGACUACAGACAGCUUAUGUAAGUCUUGAAAGUUUGUGUGGCAUCAAAAAUUAGUCCGUUUUAGGUUUGCAAUUUCUUUUCCUGGAUGUUGUGGACUUUGCUUGUAUUCUGUUAAAAGUGUAAGCAUAAUGGUUGGUUUAUUGGUAUGCAUUGCUAGUUUUUUCCCUUGUUAUUUGAAAAAAAAAAUUAUUUUACAGGACACAUUGAGAGAACCUUACAAAGACCGUAAGCUCGUUAAUCAUUUUACGAAACAAAAAAAUUGUAUUUUUUAGGCAUUAACCCCAAUAGUAUUUUCAAAGGGUGUCCCUUAGCAAAUCGUUUCUCAGGAUUUUUUUAAAAUAUUCAACUGUUGAGUAAGAACAAUUUUUUUCCCUUGAAAACUAGAUUUUUUUAGCUUCAUAUCAGUCACAGGAUGUGCAAAGAGUUUAAAAAAAUGCAGUAAUACUAUCACCACUUGAAUGACUUCUGUUUAAAAGAAAAAGCAGUAAGAAAAACCUCUAUUUUCCAAACCUAAUGCUGUUUUUUAGAAAACUGGGAACCCUGUAGUUUUGACUCUUCUAAAUGUCCUACUUAGUUUUAUUUGGAAAAGUAAGUCUCACGGAUUGACCAGGAUCUUAAGACCCCGAAAACCCAGGGGCCCAAACUGGGAACCAGGGAUCGCAUAUACAAUUUGGACCUUGAAGUACUGGCAGAGUCAGUUAAGAAGGCUAUCAGAGAUGUGUUAGAGAAAAGAAGUGUCCCCUAAGCAAACCAUGUCGGAGACCACCUGGUGGAACCAAGAACUGAGUUAAUUUAGGUGGACUGAGGAAAUGAGCAACUGGGGAAUGAAUCAUUAUAGACGAAGCUUAACCAGAUACAAUGAUGCCAUAAAAAAAGGAAAAGGAAAAUGUUGGAUGGAGGAAACUAUGCAGGGACUUAAUUGAGAUACUAGCAUAUGAAAGACUCCACAAGGCAAUAAAUAGGCUGCAACAAGACCCCUUGGUUCUUCUAUAAAUUCUAAUGGAGUAUUCUAUGACAACCUAGGAGGAAACGUAAUGGGGUCGCAAAAAAGCCAAUUGAAAGCAGUAAGAAAAUCCUUCUCUAUUUUGCAAAUUUGACACUGUUUUUCAGAAAAUAUUGAGAACCCUGUAACUUUGUCUUCUGGACGUUCUGCUUUAGUUUUAUUAUUAACAAGAUUAGUUGGUUUUUUUUGGAAAAGUAAGUCUUAUAGAUUGGUCACCCUUUGGAGUUAUUGGAUGUUUCAAAGGAUGCAGAAAAAGUAAGCAUUUUUCUUUUGUUACGAGGCGAAAUUAGUUUUUUUUAGAUUUGUUUUAUGUUGUUUUCCUCGCUCGGUGCAGAUCAUUUGUUCGUUUUCAACGUGUUUAUUUAUAAAAGGUAAUAUUCAGUUUAUUUUUCGCAACGGAACAGUGCUUUUUAGAACACUCGUCAGAAGUGGGAUUAAAAGGACCCCUGUGCUCUUCAGCAAAGACCAUGACGAUCUUCAAUUAAUUUCGUGUAAGAGAAUAUUUUAAGUUUUUUUUUAGAAUAUCACGCCUCGACUGAAGACUGAAAGUUCUUGGGAUAAGUCGAGUUUCAACUUUUUCUUUAUUUAAUCAUUUUGUGAUCGUCUAAGCAGUAAAUCGUAACGUCUAAAAAGUAAAUUUGACAAUAUUUAAAUAAUAAUUUUUAGCAAAUUUCUUUUCGACUAGAAUCGGGAAUUAUCCAAGGCAUCCAAACUUCUUUUUCGGUAACUAACGAUAUUUUUCAGAUUUUUCAAAUUAAAUUGGCAGCAAUUUCAAAACGCUUUAUUUGUUAUUGACUGAUUGCGAUUUAAAUUAGACUAACAGACGGCAGCUUUGAGGCACAUAAGUCUUGUUUUAUAUGUAGCACCGAAAUAUCGUCAGUUUUAGGCUUGCAUUUUUGUUUUGAACUCGUGGACUUGUUUGUUCAAACUGUAAGCAUAAUUUAGCUAUCCUUGUGGCAUGCUGUUUUUUUUUUUGGGGUUUUUCCGAGAAAAAAAUAUUUUGCAGCACGCGUUGAGGCAACAAUUAUUCCCAAGAGACACAUCAGAACUGUAAGCUCGUUUAAACAUAUUGCAAAAACAAAAAACGUAUUUUUUUAGGAGUUUUUCAAAGGUGUGAGGCUCCUUAGGUCAAGCCAUUGUUCCGGAUAUUUUUAUUUAUAGUUUCAUAACUUGACAACCCAAUCCAAGUAAGAUAGUUAUUUUUCCCCGAGAAUACACUUUUUUUUUAGCUCGUCCAUAUGCAAAGGAAAAUAGGAUUGAGAGUUAAAAAAUUAAUCAAAAACCAAAGAGUUGCAGUCGUUCUUUCACUACUUGAGAUGACUAAUAAAAGCCGACUGAAGUAAGAAAAUCCUUUUUUUUCCCAAACCUAACGCUGUUUUUCAGAAAAUAUCGAGAACCCUGUAACUUUGUCCUCUAGACAUUCUACUUUAGUUUUAUUAUUAACAGUAUUAGUUGGUUUUUGAAAAGUUAAUCUCGUGGAUCGGUCGCCCUUAGGAAAAAUUGAUGUUUCAAAGGGGCAGAAUGAGUAAGCAUUUUUCUUUUGUUAGAGGCAAAAUUAGUUUUUUCCAGAUUUGUUUUCCUCGCCUAAUGCAGAUCAUUUGUCCGCUUUCAACGAGUUUAUAUAAGGUAAUAAUAUUCAGUUUAUUUUUUGCAACGGAACAGUGCUUUUUAGGACAUUAUUCAGAAUCCGGGGAUUAAAAACACUUCUGUGCUUUUUAAGCAAGGACCACGACAAUCUUCAAUUUAAUUUCGUGUAAGAGAAUAAUUUUUUUCCAAAAGAAAUUAAUUUUUUUUAGAAUAUCACGCCUCGACAAGACUGAAGGUUUUUAGGAUAAGUUGAGUUUCAACUUUUUCUUUUUUAUCAUUUUGUGAUCAUCUAAACAGUAAAAUAAGAUUUCGUGGCAUUUGAAAAUAUUUAAUAGGACACUUCAGAACAGUAAGCUUGUUUAAACAUAUUGCAAAACAAAAAACGUAUUUUUUAGGAGGUUUUCAGAGGUGUGAGGCCUCUUAGGUCAAGCCUAUUUUUAUCUACAGUUUCUUAGCUUAAACAACAGCCCUAUUCAAGUAAGAUACUAUUUUUUUCCUGAGAAAACAUGUUUUUUUAGUAUGCAAAGGAAAACGAGAUCGAGAGUAUAAAAAAAAUUCAUUAAAAACCAAUAAGAGUUACAGUCAUCCUUUUACUACUUAGAUGACUAAUAAAAGCCGACUGAAGUAAGAAAACUCUUGUGUUUCCGAAACCUAACACUGUUUUUCAGAAUUGUUACUUGAGAGUUAACUUUUCAAUAACGGCAUGCAGACAGUACUAUAAGGCUGAAUCACGAGUAUCGUAAGCAUACAACUUGGUAGCAUGUUGGUGUACUUGCAAUGGCUUGUUUUGGUAGUGUGGAGGGUAGUUCUGCUCCUCAUGGGGAAAUAUAUGUCAUUUUCAGAACGCACUAUCGAAUUGCACAAAACACCGGUCAAUAACGCCCAAUUAAGUCGUCCUGGGAAAUUAGUCCGAUUACGUCCAAUUUUGUCCUUCCAUGCACAUUUUACAGAAACCACUUAUCAAAAGCAAAAUGACAAUCGUUCAACACAAAGUACACUCGACUCCCAAAGAAAGAAAAGGAAACUCGCAAGGUAACUUUCCCCUUUCAGACCGCACGAACCGCCGAAGAAAGUGGAUUUGGUCACGGCUGCGAGUCGAAAACCACUCGGUUCCUUUGGGUGAAAGUUUCGUUUCGCAUGAGGCAUUCCCGAGCUCAGAAGGCAGGCAAACUUCGCGAUUCGGGACUUUUCACCCCCCCCUUCGUUGAGGAGGAGCUUUGGUUAUCGGAUCGCAGCUCUGACAAUCCGAAGCGGAUUGAAUUAAUGGAGUAAAUUUUGUUUAAAAAAAAAAAGGGUAUGUGUAUGGCGACGGAGGUAGAGUAAGGAUGUGCCUUUAUUUUAAUAUGUAUUAAAAAAAGUAACGUAAGAGGUUAACGAUUGUUUACUCACGACGAAAAUUGACUGGUGUUGGGAUACGGCCGAGGCGGCAAAUAUUACAGAAGUUGCAUUCAAUAGAGCCCUCCCCAAUAGGCCCAAACAUUCAAUUAAACGGUUGGGGUUGCUCCACACAUUAAAAAAAGUAGUAGACCGAUGGCUGGAACUCCACUAAAGACCACAUUUCACUAUUCAAGGAAACGUUGGCAAUGCAUCGUUUAUAUUAUGGAAUUUGGAACGGCCAGUCGCUACUAACCAGAACAAGAGAGAUGGACUAAUGAAAGUUUUGACUGCAAUGCUAGCAUAUCAAAAGAGACGGCCUCUGGAUCAUCAAGGACCGACUGCGAGGGAUCAUGGAUUAGAUUUCCUCUUAGGUCCCUCAUAAGGGUUUCUCGACGACACAAAGAACCGGGAACUGCUAACGGAGACGAUGGGAUCACCAGGAUGGGAGGCCGAUUCGAAGGACUACUACGACAUGAGACCCCUUUGGAAGGACAAUUGGAGGGAGUACCUAGAAAACCGGACGAUCGGCCUACUUCGAGGGAUGGACGAGCAAUGGGACUACUUGGAAGAACAGAAAAUUGGAUCACCUUCAAAGGAGGGACAAUGGGACAUCCAAUAGAGGACACUAAGACCGCCUAGAACACGGACAGACAAUACUUUGACGCUUGAAGGACGAUUAUGGAUCACCUAGGAUAGACAACGGGACAUUCCGAGAGAGGACAAUAAGACUAUCUGGAAGACGGACAACGGGAUCAACCGACAGCACGGUGUCCGUGUUUCACGCCUUUGUGGGACGAAUAUUGGAUCUUUUAGGAUGGACAACGGGACAUUCCAACAGAGGACUUGAAGACCGCCUGAAAGACGGACAAUCGGAUCAACAUCACGGAAGAACACUUUCACGCUUGAGGGACUAACAUUGGAAAAGCCUACGAUGGACAAUGAGGGACCACCUUGAGGGACGAAUGAGGGAUUACUACAUAGGAGACGUGACGAGAUGGUUGCAACCUAGGAGGGACAGUUGGGCAACCUGGAACUGGACCACCCAAUAGGACACUGAAGGAUUACCUAGAAGAUCGGAUAUGACGGAUAAUAGCUCUUCAAGGACAAAUAAGGAUGGACCUGGGACGGACUAGAAGGUUACUUUGGACAGAUGGUGGGACUAUGUGGAAGGACUACCUAGGACGGACAAUGGGACGACCUGGAGAGGCAGAAAGGACGGACAAUGGGACGACGUGACGGGAUAAUUGCUUUAUCUUAAAAGAAGACUAACGUUGGAAAUAUCGCAAAAGGACGACAGACAAUGGAAGGAGGAAAUUGGAGCUUCUUAGGACGGACGAUGGAUUUGGAUGGACAGUGGGAUCACCUGGAAGGACGGACAAUGCGGAUUACCGAAGAGGACUGACUGACUUGACGAUGGGCGAGAUUUAAAGGACGAAGGACAAUAGGAUAGGGGACAAUCGAGGAAGACUACCCAGAAGAAAGGAGGAAAAGCAAUUAGACCACUCAACAGAGUAAAGGAGGACAUUUGCAAGGACUAUCUGGAGGCUCCCUGAAAAGGCCGUUGGACGACCUGGAAGGAUUUUGAGAGGAAAGAAACGCAUUUUUAUAAUGAACACUUGACUAUACUUCAAGGCAGUAUGGAGAUACAGCUUUGGACAUCGGAGACAAGAAUCGAGAUCAUUGCAACUAACCGAAGACCAUCGUAGGACCAUAUCGCAGAUCGAGAACUUGGAAGGAGAUCUUCAUGACGAGGAUACACCAGGAAAACUACUACUAGGAAGAGGACGACGUCGAGAUCGGCGAACCAGGAGGAAGCGAGACCGGAAUUUCCCGCGAUACAUUUCGGAGUUUCUGUGGUUUACUGAGAUCUAAAUUGUGUUAUUCUCAACACAAACGUUUAGAUUUGCUAGACGACUGAAAUUCCGCAUAUUGUAUCGGAAGUGAUGCGCUCUUUGAGGAUUCUGUGGCUGUCGUAGGCGACUGAAACCUCUAGAGGGCGUUGCUGCCGCGGCGGUUACACUUUUUGGGGAUUCUGUGGUUUGUGGAAAUGGAUCGGUUAACGAGGGACCGAUUCGUUUCCGAGUUGGAACGACUGAAACCCCAAUUGGUGUAAUUGCGGAGGAGACCAGGGAGGAGAUAGAUGCAGACGAGGUAUCAGAUUUUAAAGCCAACUAACUAAUAUUUCUAGCCGUCCGCCCGAAUAGCGUUGAAGAGCCUUACGCGAUUUUUAACAGAUGCACGGUUUCGCGAUUGAUUGAUUACUUACUACUCUGACGCGACGUUCAAAUCGUACAAAAGCGGAGCCCUCAUCGGAUGACGAUACUCGUGCGGAAGAAGUUAAGAAAUUAGCCUACAACAUCGAUUGGGAAAGGAGAAUCCAAUUUUCGUGAGGGACGCGUGGUUGAAAUUGAUAAAACGGCGAAUGCGAUACGGGCUGAAGGGCGGUGACGGAACGCAUGAUAUGGGGAGGGGGGCAACCUAUUAAGACGGCGAAGCAUUUUCAUCGGCCAUCGGUGGUUUACGGCAGGGACGGGACAGCGUGGAAUGCCACGAUCACUCACAGGAACUCCUGCAAGGUUUCUCGCCACAAAGAACCGGGAAUUAUUCACGGAAGUUAUCAGAUCACCAUGAUGCGAGGCCGAUUUGAGGGACGACUGCAAUACAGGAUAAUUGGAGGGAGAGUAUACCUGGAGAACGGGACGACAGGCUUACAUAGGAGGCAUGGACUAGUUAGGACAACCCGGAACCGAGGGAAAAUUGUCAUCACCUAGGAUGGACAAUGGGACAUUUCAAGGGAGGACAAUAAGACCGCCUGGAAGGCGGACAGCCGGAUCAAUGGAAUGAACAAUACUUUUAGGCUUGAAGGACGAACAUUGGAAAAGCCUACGCUGGACAAUGUGGGACCAUCUAAGGGACGAAUGCGAUACGGGCAAAAGGGCGAUGACGGGACGAUCUAGUAAGACGGCGACGCAUUUUCAUCGGCCAUCGGUGUUUUACGACAUGGAAGGCGACGAGCGGGUAUUCUGCGCCUACGGAUCACUGGAGUCGUCGUGGAACACGGGUCGGAACAUACUGGACGCGCAUUGCAUACGUCACGGGACUACUGGAAUUCCUACUGAGUACGAUCGGCGAUUACGAACUGCCACAAGACGACGAGGGCGGAUGGAAUUAAUUUUUGGGGUGACGGCGGUACCCGUGACUCAUUACGAAGGAAAAUGAACGAUUCGGCCUCUGGUGACCGACGAGUGUUUUUCUGCGUCGCUUGAGGCUUUUUUUUUAAACCGUUCGAGCGAAGGCGUACGUACACGAUCGUCGUGACGCAGGAACGCACUGUAAUGGGUGUCGAGCUGAAUCGUUUGUUUUUCUUACGUUUAAUGGUACGGGGGGGUCGAUGGUGCUGGUACCACGUGUGUAACGUACGAGGGGGCGGCGCACCCUGAAACCGGAUCGGGAGACUGUAGAAGAAAGUAGCGCAAUUGGAAUUGGAAGUCUAGGAGUUUACAAAUGAAGAAAUUGGUUGCACUCGACUAGGACCGACACUGCGAACCUAAAGCCGCUUUUCUAUUCCAAGUUUUUCAUGUUUUUUUUUCUUUUCAGUUAAAUAAAUGUAUUGAAAUUA